CGGCGAGUGAAGCGGCAAUAGCUCAGAUUUGAAAGCCGACGUCAUUUUCAUGCGUCCGCAUUGUAAUCUGUAGAGGAGUGUUCGGGUGUGGCCUCGGUCCAAGUUCCUUGUGAACAGGACAUCAUGGAGGGUGAGAAUCCCGUGAAUGGCCUUGGUCCUAUGCCCGUGUGAACCUCCUUCGACGAGUCGAGUUGUUUGGGAAUGCAGCUCUAAAUGGGUGGUAUAUUUCAUCUAAAGCUAAAUACAGGCAGGAGACCGAUAGCGCACAAGUAGAGUGAUCGAAAGAUGAAAAGAACUUUGAAAAGAGAGUCAAAUAGUACGUGAAAUUGUUGAAAGGGAAGCACUUGCGUCCAGACUUGCCCGCGGCCGAUCAGCCGUCAAUUCUUUUGAUGGUGCACUUGGUCGUGGGCAGGCCAGCAUCGGUCAAUGGCGAUGAGAAAAAGAUGCCUGGAAUGUGGCUCCUUCGGGAGUGUUAUAGCCUGGCAUGCAAUACCACCAGCCCUGACCGAGGCCCGCGC
rnacentral:rRNA from 1 species